GGGGGAAUUCCACGGUUUUCCGCCGCCGUAGCUAACGCAUUAAGUGCCCCGCCUGGGGAGUACGGCCGCAAGGCUAAAACUCAAAGGAAUUGACGGGGGCCCGCACAAGCGGCGGAGCAUGCGGAUUAAUUCGAUGCAACGCGAAGAACCUUACCAAGGCUUGACAUGAACCGGAAAGACCUGGAAACAGGUGCCCCGCUUGCGGUCGGUUUACAGGUGGUGCAUGGUUGUCGUCAGCUCGUGUCGUGAGAUGUUGGGUUAAGUCCCGCAACGAGCGCAACCCUCGUUCUAUGUUGCCAGCGGUUCGGCCGGGGACUCAUAGGAGACUGCCGGGGUCAACUCGGA
rnacentral:rRNA from 1 species